GCCUGUUUAUCAAAAACAUGUCUUUUUGAGAAAUAAUUUAAAGUCUAAUCUGCCCACUGAUAUAAUAUUAAAGGGCUGCAGUAUUUUGACUGUACAAAGGUAGCAUAAUCAUUAGUCUUUUAAUUGGUGACUUGUAUGAAAGAUUGGAUGAGAUAUAAACUGUCUAAAAAAUAAUUUAUUGAAAUUAAUUUUUUAAUUAAAAAGUUAAAAUAUAUUAAAAAGACGAGAAGACCCUAUAGAGUUUUAUAUUAAUUUAAAUUUUAAUUAUAUAUAAAUGUUAAUAAUUAUAAAUUUAAAUUAAUAUUUUAUUGGGGUGAUAAAAAAAUAAAAAAAACUUUUUUUAAGGGUAACCAUAGAUAAGUGAUUUUUUGAUCCAAUUAUAUUGAUUAAAAGAAAAAAUUACCUUAGGGAUAACAGCGUAAUUUUUUUUUUUAGUUCAUAUAAGAAAAAAAGUUUGCGACCUCGAUGUUGGAUUAAGAUAAAAUUUAA
rnacentral:rRNA from 1 species